AUUGAACGCUGGCGGCAGGCCUAACACAUGCAAGUCGAACGAGUGGCGGACGGGUGAGUAAUUUCUGGGAAACUGCCUGAUGGCGGGGGAUAACUACUGGAAACGGUAGCUAAUACCGCAUACCAUCAUUUGUGCCCCGAUGGGAUUCGCUAGUUGGGGGGGUACAGGCUCACCAAGGCGACGAUCCCUAGCUGGUCUGAGAGGAUGACCGGCCACACUGGAACUGAGCAACGGGCCGGACUCCUACGGGAGGCAGCAGGGGGGAAUAUUGCACAAUGGGCGCAAGCCUGAUGCAGCCAUGCCGCGUGUAGGAAGAAGGCCUUCGGGUUGUAAAGUACUUUCAGCGGGGAGGCGUUACCCGAAGAAGAAGCACCGGCUAACUCCGUGCCAGCAGCCGCGGUAAUAC
rnacentral:rRNA from 1 species